CCUUCUGAAAGGAAGAUUAAUACAAGAUGGCAUCAUGAGUCCGCAUGUUCACAUGAUUAAAGGUAUUCCGGUAGACGAUGGGGAUGCGUUCCAUUAGAUAGUAGGCGGGGUAACGGCCCACCUAGUCUUCGAUGGAUAGGGGUUCUGAGAGGAAGGUCCCCCACAUUGGAAACUGAGACACGGUCCAAACUCCUACGGGAGGCAGCAGUGAGGAAUAUUGGUCAAUGGGCGAGAGCCUGAACCAGCCAAGUAGCGUGAAGGAUGACUGCCCUAUGGGUUGUAAACUUCUUUUAUAAAGGAAUAAAGUCGGGUAUGCAUACCCGUUUGCAUGUACUUUAUGAAUAAGGAUCGGCUAACUCCGUGCCAGCAGCCGCGGUAAUACGGAGGAUCCGAGCGUUAUCCGGAUUUAUUGGGUUUAAAGGGAGCGUAGAUGGAUGUUUAAGUCAGUUGUGAAAGUUUGCGGCUCAACCGUAAAAUUGCAGUUGAUACUGGAUAUCUUGAGCGCAGUUGAGGCAGGCGGAAUUCGUGGUGUAGCGGUGAAAUGCUUAGAUAUCACGAAGAACUCCGAUUGCGAAGGCAGCCUGCUAAGCUGCAACUGACAUUGAGGCUCGAAAGUGUGGGUAUCAAACAGGAUUAGAUACCCUGGUAGUCCACACGGUAAACGAUGAAUACUCGCUGUUUGCGAUAUACGGCAAGCGGCCAAGCGAAAGCGUUAAGUAUUCCACCUGGGG
rnacentral:rRNA from 1 species